GCAUGUGGUUUAAUUCGAUGCAACGCGAAGGAACCUUACCUGGUCUUGACAUCCACAGAACUUUCCAGAGAUGGAUUGGUGCCUUCGGGAACUGUGAGACAGGUGCUGCAUGGCUGUCGUCAGCUCGUGUUGUGAAAUGUUGGGUUAAGUCCCGCAACGAGCGCAACCCUUAUCUUUUGUUGCCAGCGGUCCGGCCGGGAACUCAAAGGAGACUGCCAGUGAUAAACUGGAGGAAGGUGGGGAUGACGUCAAGUCAUCAUGGCCCUUACGACCAGGGCUACACACGCGCUACAAUGGCGCAUACAAAGAGAAGCGACCUCGCGAGAGCAAGCGGACCUCAUAAAGUGCGUCGUAGUCCGGAUUGGAGUCUGCAACUCGACUCCAUGAAGUCGGAAUCGCUAGUAAUCGUGGAUCAGAAUGCCACGGUGAAUACGUUCCCGGGCCUUGUACACACCGCCCGUCACA
rnacentral:rRNA from 1 species